GGUUGCUGCCUGGGGGCCAAAGGUCACGUUGCCACUUAAUUAGCAAGAUGUUUGAAGAGGCUCCCGGCAACGUCGACACAAGACAACGACGACAAGAUCCCACACGACGUGUAGCCCCGAGGUUUCGAUGAUUCAUCCCCGCAGAGAGAUGUGAUGUCACUGCGUUCAUGGAAAUAAUGUCUGUGGACAGAAAAGAAGCUCUCAAUAUUGUUGCGGGUCUGUUUGCUUGGCAAAGACUCAUUAUUCUGGAUAUUACUGUGGCAGGAGCCCAGAGGGGGGGGGGGGGGACUGGACCUCUCUGAUGAAAAUAUUGAUGACCCCGAAGCCAAAAAUAUAUAAAGCCGAAAGUGAAGGUUUCAGAAGAGAGCAGUAUGUCAGCUUGGAGACUUCCAGAUGAACAUAUGUGCUGCUAGCUGCUGUCACUGGGACCGACAGACGCUGCACAUCCAAAGAAGAAUCAAGAUGAGGUCUGUGCACCAGUUUGCACCACUGAUGAUCCCCAAAAUAUCCCAGAGCAACCCUGCUGUGCUGCGUUCACAGACCGCCACACAGAAAACGAGAGCAGAGACGACUCCACGCUGUGAAAUCCACAUCUGAGAGAGAAAGUUGGUGCUGAGAAGAAAAAAACUUGAAUAAGUCACAACUCAGACCUGGAAGGACAUCAACAGCUUUGACACAAUCAAGCAUCUCAGAAAACCCAGACUGGACUAUUUUGAAAAUAGGCGUCAUCAUGACAGCUUGUCUGGAUGACUUGGUUAAAUAUGUCUAAAAUGAGAGCCGGGCCUCUCCAAUAUCUCCGUAUCCUCUUCAGACCGAGCAGCGUCGUCCUGUAUUUUUAUUCUCUUCUCAUGCAUCAGCUCUUCUUUCUUUCUUUUUUCUGCCUCACGUGUACCUUUUCAUUUUGUGCAGCGCUCAUUGAAUUCUUUUAAUUUCACGUCAGCAUCCUCACACACACACACACACACACACACACACUGAGAGAACAUGCCUGAUCAGCACUGCAACAGAGAGAAGCACUGAACUGAUAGGAAAGUAAGAAAGCUGAUACUUUAUCUGAACUGUUCAUGCAGCCGUAUGUGUAACAUCACAGAGUAACACUUCUGUAUCUCUGCAGCACUGUAGCAACAUGCGACUCUAUGAUCAUAUCAUGUCACAACAAAAAUACAAUUAACAUAUUUGUUGACUUCUACGGAGGCCCUAAAGGGGACACGGGCAAAACAAUACAGCAUAUAUACAGAUGGGUCAAGGGUCUUAGUAUUGAUUCUCCAGAACCAACCCAGUCACCAGAACA